CGUAACACACUAUAAACGUUCGCCAACAACUACGAGUGAUAACUUAAAACUUAAAAGACUUGACGGUACUUCAUCCAGCCUAGAGGAGCCUGUCUAAUAACCGACAACCCACGAUUAACCCGACCCUUUCUUGCCAACAGUCUAUAUACCGCCGUCGUCAGCCUACCUUGUAAAAGCAAUAAAGUAGGCUCAAUAGCGCCACACUAAAACGACAGGUCGAGGUGUAACCCAUGAAAAGGACUAAGAUGGACUACAUUCUCAAGCCGAGAACACGGAUAAUACUAUGAAAAUAGCAUUUGAAGGCGGAUUUAGUAGUAAGAUAAGAAUAAAAUACCUAACUGAACAUAACGCAAUGAAGUGCGUACACACCGCCCGUCAUCCCUGCCACCAC
rnacentral:rRNA from 1 species